GUUGGAUUAGUAUCGUAGAGGUAGCGAAGCAGACUGUAAAUCUGCCGACUCGGGUGGUUCGACUCCAUCAUCCAACACCA
rnacentral:tRNA from 1 species